GUCCCCAUCAUCUAGUUGGCCUAGGAUACCGGCUUUUCACGCCGGCGACGGGGGUUCAAAUCCCCCUGGGGACG
rnacentral:tRNA from 1 species